UUUUUUUUUUUUUUUUUUUUUUUUGUUAGUUACCGUUUCUAUGUUUUUAUCCCUUAAAAACGCGCGCCUACGACGCGCGAACGCGACGUCCUCCUUCAUAUUAUUAUUAUUAUUAUUAUUAUCAUACCGUGUCGUCGCCCCGCAACCCCACUCUUAUAUUGUAUACUUUUUAGCGCUCCGGUGUAAAUAUAUACUAAUACAGAGAUUUAUUUUUAUUUGAUUUUUUUUUUUUUUUUUGAUCUUCUUUUAUCUGUUUUUAUUUUUAUUCAUAUUACUGUUUGUAAGGCUGACCCGGUCUGUAGAGAAAAACAAACAAUAAAAUAAUACGUACGGCAUUAUUAUAAUAAUAAUAAUAAUAAUAAUGAUACUACGCUCAAGUAAUUAAAAAAAAAAAUUAAAAAAAAAAUAACGUACCAUUCCACAUUAUAAUACUAUACGAUAACUUUAUAAUUAAUAUUAUUUCUCGAGCGAUCUCCGUGGCAGGGGGGGGGGAGGUAGGGGACGUCGUAUUCCGAGGGAGUUCGCGCGGAUGCACUUUCGCGAGGCCUCCCCGUAAUUUUCGGACAGCCGACGGACAUUUUUCUGGUAAAAUAAACGGAGAGAAAAUUCGUUUGCUUUCCCGGUGAGUAAAAAACAAACGACCGGCCAGAUUGUCACCGACCGUUGUACGGUUUAUGGUUUUGAAUUUUCUGUUUACUUUACGUUUACCCUUAUGAUAAACAACGUAAUUCCGUUUCAACGAAAAAAUACAUUCCCGCGAGAACAUCACGAGUUCCACACUCCGAAGACUGCGUAAUUAUUUUAUUAUAAAAAUAUUAUGUAUACAUUUAUAUAUAUACUUAUAGAGAGAGAGAGAGAGAGAGAGAGAGAGAGAGAGAGUUCACUUAACAAUAAUUAUCGUUCUUUUCAUUUUUUUACUAUUAUUAUUUUUUAUACAUUUAUUAUAAUACAAUGCGAUGAUGGUUAGUAUUAUACUAUAAAAUAAUAUAAAGGGUGCAUUAUUGUUGUUACAUUUGAAACGAAAGAAGAAAAAAAAAAACGCAUAGGAUCUGUGAACCCUAUUAUAUAUUAUAAUACGCGAUACCGCGCCCUUUCUAAACAUCGAUGUAUUAAAUACGAAGACGAAAUUGAUUUAACAUUACAAUCUCGACGUAAACAUUCCCGAUAAUGUUGUAAAUAUUAUGGAAAAGAAAAAAAAAACAAAAAUAUUAUCACGUGGCGAACUAUAUAUAACGAUAUAUAAAUAAAUAAAUAUAUAAAUCCCGUUUUUUUUUUUUUUUUUUUCGAUCGUGUAAAUAUUAAAAAAAUUUCGUCGUAAAAAUAUACGUACAAGUACAAAAAUUGUUUUUUUAAAAAGUUUUUAGCUAUACUAUACAUAAUAUUACACAGUGUCCGACGUUUCGUCGUCCAGUUUUACCCCUCUCGCCUUUUUUUUUUUUUUUAUUUAAUUAUUAUUAUUAUUGUUAUCACAAUCGUUUUUAUGUUCUGUUUAUUAUUGCUAUUAUUAUUAUUAUUUUUUUUUUUUAUUUCGAACAUUAAAAACAAUGUAAAUUCGGUUUAUGUUUGACUAGUCUGUUAUUUAUUAUUUUAUAAUAUUAUUAUUACAAUAUUAAUAUUUGUAUUCGUAUUAUUAUUAUUAUUAUGAUUAUGAUUAUUAUGAUUAUUAUUAUUAUUAUUAUCAUUAUUAUUAUUAUUAUUAUUAUUAUUUUUAUCAUUAUUAUUAUUAUUAUUAUAAUUAAAACUAUUAUUUUUAUUAUUACUACUAUAUAGUUAUUAUUAUUUGAUUUAGGUUAAAACUAUCCCCCCUGAUAAAAAAAUGUAUUCCCCCACUCUCCUCCCUCAUUAUAAACUCACCUAAAAAAAGUUUGAAAUAUAUAUUAAAAAAAAAAAAAAAAAAAAAAAAAAAAAAAUUAAAUUAUAAUAUAAUAUAAUAUUAUAAUAAACGUUUUGAUUAAAAUUGCGGUAACGCUCACUAAUGUUCCUCAUUAUUAUAUAAUAUUGUAGAGUUCUUAUGUACAUUGUAUGGAUUAUAUGGAUUAGUGUUAAAAAAAAAAAUAAAAAUUACGGCGCACUUAAGCGACCCGAGUAUAAUAUAGGUAAUUUAGGAAAUACCUACGUAAAAUUUAUAAUGAACUGUAAGUUUAACGUACUUUUUGUCGACCGUGUGUUGUUUGGUUAAAAAUUGUAUUUAAAAAAAAUAAAAAUAAUAAUAAUAAAAAAAAAAUUGAAACUAUUAUUAUUACCGUUAUUAUUAUUAUUAUUAUUAUUUAUCGAUUAUCGUUUCACUGAAUACUGUUGAAAUCAUGUUGAUGUUAUUAUCACGUGUUAUUUACAAUCUAAACGUUUUCGGUUUCGCGGUCCGACGACGUUUCCCUUCGAAUUUCCGACGGUCACCCGUUGCGCAACCGAUGCGUAAUCGUUAUCGUCGUUAUAAUUCCAAAUUUAGAACGUUUUUCCGGUGUCCCCGGCUGACCGUCGGGAUUCCGGUCUCCGACGUCGGAAAUCGAAACGUCGACAACUGCCGCGCGUGUCUCGUGCGCCACAUCACUAACAAUAAUAAUAAUAAUAAUAAUAAUAAUAAUAAUGAUAAUAACAACAACAACAACAACAACAACGACAGUGACGACAACUUGGCGUUUUGUACCUACAUCGCAAUAUCGCAUCACACACACACACACACACGAUAUCUUUACUUUCUAUAGAAUAUGCGUUAUCGAGUAUACAUAUAUUUAUUAUUAUAAUUAUUAUUAUUAUUUGUAUAGGUAUUACCUUAAACAUUAUAUUUGUGUUUUUUUUUCUCGACGGAAUCGUCUUAAGUUAUUUUUAUUUUCGAAAAAAAAAAAAAAAAUGCAUUAUUAUCAUCGUCGAUAUUGUCGUUGUACAUUUUCUCCUAUACAAUAAUAUAAUAAUAAUAUUAUAUUAUUGUACACACAAUAAUAUUAUAGGUAUAUUAUGUAAAAAAUAUUUAUAACAAAACAUUUUUUUUUUUUUUUUCUCGUUUAUUUAUUAUACUGUAUGCAUAAUGUAUAUGCAUAUGGUUGUACAUAACCUACUAUUAUAUGAUAUUAUUAUUAUUAUUAUUUAUUUGUCAUCGUAAACCAAAUAUGUUUUUUUUUUUUUUUCUGUUUAAGUAAUAUAUAAUAUUAUUAUUACGCUAUAUAAAAUGAUUUGUUUAGAAUAUUAUUAUUGUAAUUGGUUUAAAAAAAAAAACAAAC